GAUGAACGCUGGCGGCGUGCCUAAUACAUGCAAGUCGAGCGAACGGACGAGAAGCUUGCUUCUCUGAUGUUAGCGGCGGACAGGUGAGUAACACGUGGAUAACCCACCUAUAAGACUGGGAUAACUUCGGGAAACCGGAGCUAUUAUAGGAUGAUAUUUUGAACCGCAUGGUUCAAAAUUGAAAGACGGUCUUGUUGUCACUUAUAGAUGGAUCCGCGCUGCAUUAGCUAGUUGGUAAGGUAACGGCUUACCAAGGCAACGAUGCAUAGCCGACCUGAGAGGGUGAUCGGCCACACUGGAACUGAGACACGGUCCAGACUCCUACGGGAGGCAGCAGUAGGGAAUCUUCCGCAAUGGGCGAAAGCCUGACGGAGCAACGCCGCGUGAGUGAUGAAGGUCUUCGGAUCGUAAAACUCUGUUAUUAGGGAAGAACAUAUGUGUAAGUAACUGUGCACAUCUUGACGGUACCUAAUCAGAAAGCCACGGCUAACUACGUG
rnacentral:rRNA from 1 species